rnacentral:rRNA from 1 species
CAGUAGCCACGGGAAUACGAAGGGUGCAAGCGUUAAUCGGAAUUACUGGGCGUAAAGCAUGCGUAGGCGGUGAGUUAAGUCUGCUGUGAAAUCCCCGGGCUCAACCUGGGAAUGGCAAUGGAUACUGGCAAGCUAGAGUGUGUCAGAGGAUGGUGGAAUUCCCGGUGUAGCGGUGAGAUGCGUAGAGAUCGGGAGGAACAUCAGUGGCGAAGGCGGCCAUCUGGGACAACACUGACGCUGAGGCACGAAAGCGUGGGGAGCAAACAGGAUUAGAUACCCCCGUAGUCCCUGUCUCUUAUAC